rnacentral:lncRNA from 1 species
AGCAAUACAACUAUACCAACUAUUUUUGUUUAAACUAUUUAGUGAUCUAGAGACAUUCAGGGCUUCAGAGAGAAGGAUAUCAUCAGACUUUAAUAUAUAUUUAUAAUAUCUAAACAUAUUUAAAAUUACUUCAAGAAAUAAGGGAAAUCUUCCCAUUUCAACCAAUACAGCUAUAUUUGUAGAUUUUUUAACUAAACCCAAAGAAAAUUUACAGAAUUUGACAUGAAUACUUUCUUGUUUCAUGUCCUUGCAUAGUUUAAAAAGAUUAUGUUCAUUUUUAUUUAGUUUAUUUAUUACUGAAGAUCCCCAUAUUUCACUCCCAUAUAACAAAACAGGUUUCACAGUAUGAUCAAAUAUAUGUGAAAGUGUGUUAAUUUUAGGUUUAUAUAAGUUAAAACUUUUUUAUAUUUAAAUAAAGCUUUCAGUCCCCUUUUAUAUAAAUCAUCUUUAGCCUCUGUAAAGCUUCCACUUGCGCUCACAUAAAUUCCUAAAUAUUUAUAGCCCCUAGCCCUUUCAAUAGGUAUAUUAUUAAUAUUAAAUAUUUUUUCAUCUAGUUUUCCUGUUUUAUUAAAUACUACUGAUUUAGUUUUCUUUAUAUUUAUUUGGAGCCCCCAUUUAUCACAGUAAUUAUAUAGUUUAUCAAUACACCUCUGUAAACCAUCAGCUGUUUCUGACAUCAAUACUAAGUCAUCUGCAUACAAUAAGCAAUUAAGGUGUAAGGAAUUUAAAAUAGCAGGUUUACAUGUCUCAUCAAAAGAGUCAAGAAUAUCAUUUAUAAAAAUUUUAAAUAAAGUGGGGCUUAAAUUAUCCCCUUGUUUGACUCCUUUGUUAGAUGUAAAGUUUUCAGUCAUAGAAUAUUUGUUUAC